UACGUAGGGGGCAAGCGUUGUCCGGAAUCAUUGGGCGUAAAGCGCGUGUAGGCGGCUUGAUAAGUCUGCUGUGAAAGCCCGGGGCUCAACCCUGGGAGGCGGGUGGAUACUGUCGAGCUCGAGUCCGGAAGAGGCGAGUGGAAUUCCUGGUGUAGCGGUGAAAUGCGCAGAUAUCAGGAGGGACACCAAUGGCGAAGGCAGCUCGCUGGGACGGUACUGACGCUGAGACGCGAAAGCGUGGGGAGCAAACAGG
rnacentral:rRNA from 1 species